CCUACGGGGGGCAGCAGUGAGGAAUAUUGGUCAAUGGGCGCGAGCCUGAACCAGCCAAGUCGCGUGAGGGAAGACGGUCCUAUGGAUUGUAAACCUCUUUUGUCGGGGAGCAAAAGACGCCACGCGUGGCGUUCCGAGAGUACCCGAAGAAAAAGCAUCGGCUAACUCCGGGCCAGCAGCCGCGGUAAUACGGAGGAUGCGAGCGUUAGCCGGAUUUAUUGGGUUUAAGGGGUGCGCAGGCGGAAGAUCAAGUCAGCGGUAAAAUUGAGAGGCUCAACCUCUUCGAGCCGUUGAAACUGGUUGUCUUGAGUGAGUGAGAAGUAUGCGGAAUGCGAGGUGUAGCGGUGAAAUGCAUAGAUAUCACGCAGAACUCCGAUUGCGAAGGCAGCAUACCGGCGCUCAACUGACGCUCAUGCACGAAAGUGUGGGUAUCGAACAGGAUUAGAUACCCGGGUAGUC
rnacentral:rRNA from 1 species